rnacentral:tRNA from 2 species
AGGGGCGUAGCUCAAUUGGUAGAGCACCGGUCUCCAAAACCGGGGGUUGCAGGUUCGAGUCCUGUCGCCCCUG